rnacentral:rRNA from 1 species
CGUUCCGGGCCUUGUACACACCGCCCGUCAAGUCACGAAAGUCGGUAACACCCGAAGCCGGUGACCCAACCCCUUGUGGGAGGGAGCUGUCGAAGGUGGGACUGGCGAUUGGGACU